CUUGGCAUGAUCCAGAACGAAGUAGCUCAGUAAGGAUUAAAUAUAGCGUGCAAGCGGGGAGUGGUGAAAUAUAAGGCUUGCUUAGUGACAUGGUUUGGCUGUGUCCCAUUCAAAUCUCAACUUGAACUGUAACUCCCAGAAUCCCCCGUGCUGUGGGAGGGACCCAGGGGGAGGUAACUGGAUCCUGGGGGCCGGUCCUUCCCAUGCUAUUCUCGUGAUAGUGAGUUAAGUCUCACGAGAUCUGACGGGUUGACCAGGGUUUCCGCUUUUGCCUCUCCCCUCAUUUUCUCUUGCUGCCGCCAACUAAGAAGUGCAUUUCACCUCCCGCCAUGAUUCUGAGCCCUCCCAGCCAUGUGGAACUAGUGGCACCAACCCCGACCGAGAACCCUGGGUAGAAGAUGGAGAAUUUGGUCAGAAAGUGAACAAGCCUCUUAGAAACAUGCAGUGAUACCAGUUUGACCGAAUUAAAGUUUUAUUAUAAAGGCUUGACUGUGGAUGAUUGCAGACAGCGCGAGGUCACUGAGUCCAUAAGCAGCGAGAAGGGCACACAGAGCGGAAAAGGAGAAGCUCGCUGCUGGAGGAGGCAAACUUGACUUCACCAUGUUUUCUGGGGUGGGACCUGACUUUGACCUCAUGUAUACAGAUGGGCUUGACUGAGCUAAUUGAUGCUUAUGUCCAAUGGUAAUAUAUUUUUUUCAACUGCCAUUGAAAGACAUGAGAAAUGAAACAUGAAAAUAUUUAAUAAUUCAGUAUUUCCAAGUGUCUAGACUACUGAACAUAUUAUCCAAGAAAUUAUUUAGAAGAAAGGGAAAGGAAAUAGGCAAGAGAUUUUAUGACUACUGACUAUGAAUCAGUUGUUUUGAGUUUUAUUUGUCAUAGAGUAGAUACUAUUUUCCCUGUUUCACAGAUGACAAAUAUGAGGGUCAGAUAGAUUAGGAAACGUGCCCAAAGUUUCACAGCUAGUCAAUGAGAGAAAGCAUUUUCCAAGCCAGGUUCACUUGGCUGCAAAGCACUUACUCUUUCUGAUACACAGCAUGCUGCCUAGAUGUUUUAGCACAUUUGGAUUACAAAAAUGUUAGAAAUAAAAUUAUGUUUGUUAAAAGAUAGGCAUUUAAAAAGCUCUGGGUUGUGGUUGUCUGUGGAUGAAAUUAUAAAAUGAUAGCUCCCCCCAAAACACACAUACAUGCACGCACGCACGCACGCACGCAACCAUACAAUGUUGGUUAUGAUGGCUGAGUCACUGAAUUUAUUUGGAAGAACCAUCUUCUUUUGCAUGACAGAAUACAGAUGGCCAUAAACUAUUUACCCAGACAUUUUGGGGUUGAGGGAUGCAGUCACCAUUUGAAACAAAAAUACAACUCUAGCAAUACAUAUGAAAGUGAACUACUUUGUUAAUGUGAAAGGGAAAAGGGGGAAAAUGAAUAAAACAGCAAGAAUACAACUGAAAGGAGACUGAGACAGGGCAUAUGUGUAUGCUACACAGAGAGCAGUUUUAGAAAUGUUUAUAAACGAUGGUGUUUGUGGAAUGGAAAGUUGAAUAGCCGUGAUAGGAAGGCUUUCCACUCCUGGAAAAAUAUGGACACCAUGGCUUACAGGUUAUUUUAUUCUGAUAAGCAUCUUCCUACUUCCUCUAACAUUUGGUUAGAAACCUAAUAAAGUGAUUGCUUUAAAUAAGAAAAAAAAUUCACAUUCUACAUGUGUUUUAUUUCCUACAACGUCCCUAAAUUAUACAGGUUCUCUGAAAAGAUAAGUAUCUCACAUAUUUAGAGGACGACUUUAGCCUAUUGUUUAAGGGUUUUUUCAUGCCUUAACUCCUUUAAAAAACCAUAACAGGCUAUGAAAAAGAAAAUAAAUUAAGGAGAAUAGUUCCUUUACACGAGAAAUCUGCAUUUGGCAGUGAUGGUCAAGUACAAACUGUAAAUAACUGAAAUAACUCGUAACUAGUAAUAUACAGGUUAAUCAACUAUGAUUAAAAAUAAAUAGGUUUUUUGCCACAAACAGUAUCUUUAACUCAAAAUUAAAUAAUUGCAGCAUACUAGGUAAACUAUAAAAUAAGGAAUUUUUAAAGGCAGAGAACGAUACUCUUUCUCCAUUAUAAAUCUGAUGAGUCUCGGUGACCUUUUGUUCACAUGAACACUGACAAACUCUGCAUAAUGCAUGACUGUCCCAACCCCCAUUCUCCUCCCAAUAGUUCCUGCUUUGAUUCUAAUCUGUAUUCUAGGGUAUGGGGUGGGACACUUUAGUAAGGGGUGGGGGCGAGGGGAUGGCAAUGGUAGACACUGGUCAGGGCUGUCAGUAACCUUGGAGGCCUCUGGGAAGAGCAGAGGGCAAUAAUUUUUUGCAGUAUAGGAGAGACAGCUAGGAAGUAAUUCCUCCGUGUUAUCUUUAUGAUUGGAGAAGCAGUCAAAGAAAUAACACGAGUUCAGUGCUAUGAAGGAAAAAGCACUGGACAGUGAUUUGGAUGGGUAUCCACGUGGUUUUCUUGGUUGCAAUUUAAGGCAGAUGUGAAACUCGAAAAGGUACCUUGGGACCAGCGCGUUCUUGGUGAAGUUGCCACAAAUGCCACAACAGUUUAGAGAAACCCCUAAAUACUGGUCUUGGAAAAAAAAAUUAGACAGUUUUAGUUCUUAGGGGAAAGAGCAAUAGAUUUAUUUGAUGAAAUAAUUAAUAAGUCAUGGUCCCCACAACCAUUUUCAGGCAUGAAGCUAGCACUGACUACUUUGUGCUUUCAAAGUUUCGAAUGACCUUCUGUUAAACUUUCAUAACAAGAUUCCUUUAAAACACAUUUAUGCUUUGCUAUUAAUACUCCUACUAAUAAUACAGUGAUUAAUAACAGGGGUGGAAAUGGCAUUACAUAUGAAUCCUACAAUUAAAAUUGGGUGUUCAUCUCCAUCCUCCCCAACAGCCUGGAGUGUGUCAAGACAUCGGACCACACAGAAUCUUAUCGUUUGUAUUUUCAGUGUCUUGUGCAUAAAGACAACAAAUGAAUGAGUUUUAAAAACCUGUAUAUAAAGACUAUUGAGUCGUAUCAUAAGCACAUUGUUUACACACAUAUGAAUCUGUGCUUUGACACUAGGUAGAAGUAUACAGAGGACACCUAACUUCACUUAAAGUCGAAGUAAACACAAAGCAUGGCCUACAGUGAUUUCCCUGAAUUGGAGAACACACAUAUGUCUCGUUAUCCUUCGGACAAGCUGGUAACACUAAAAGGAGACAAUACCAGUGUAAACACUCAUAUAUUCAUGAUAAGACAAAAACAUUAAAAUUCAUUGAAAUGUUACAAAUAAAAAAGUCACUUUUGUUUUGGUAUUUAUAUACUUGAAAGAGGGAUUUAUUUGGCAUUCUGGGAGUUUACUACCUUUCCAAUCAAAGUCUACUGAUGACUUGCGGAGGGAGAGGAAAGCUGUCAGGUUCUCUAACUUACCCAUCUGUUCAUGCCCCCUUCUGGAUGGCACCCGUUCUCCAAUGGAGAAGUGGAGCACUGGCCUCUUGAAAGCUGUCUUUCUGGCACUGCCUUCCUGAGCUAAACAAAUGGUUUGGUUUCAAAUACCUUCCCUUUCAGUCCUGUCC